rnacentral:lncRNA from 1 species
CAGGAGACAGGUGGCUGGCGACCCAUGACUUCUCCAGGAUGAUGGUUCUCAUUCUGGUGCCCAGGCUGCAGUCAAGUGGCGUGAUCCUGGCUCACUGCAACCUCUGCCUCCCAAGCUCAAACGAUCCUCCUGCUUUAGCCUCCUGAGUGGCUGAGACUACAGAUAUUUGAACCCUUACACACCAGGAGCCAUACUCUUUGGAGCACUUAACUCAC